rnacentral:rRNA from 1 species
GAUGAACGCUGGCGGCGUGCCUAAUACAUGCAAGUCGAGCGAACAGAUGAGGAGCUUGCUCCUCUGACGUUAGCGGCGGACGGGUGAGUAACACGUGGAUAACCUACCUAUAAGACUGGGAUAACUUCGGGAAACCGGAGCUAAUACCGGAUAAUAUAUUGAACCGCACGGUUCAAUAGUGAAAGACGGUUUUGCUGUCACUUAUAGAUGGAUCCGCGCCGCAUUAGCUAGUUGGUAAGGUAACGGCUUACCAAGGCAACGAUGCGUAGCCGACCUGAGAGGGUGAUCGGCCACACGGGAACUGAGACACGGUCCAGACUCCUACGGGAGGCAGCAGUAGGGAAUCUUCCGCAAUGGGCGAAAGCCUGACGGAGCAACGCCGCGUGAGUGAUGAAGGUCUUCGGAUCGUAAAACUCUGUUAUUAGGGAAGAACAAAUGUGUAAGUAACUAUGCACGUCUUGACGGUACCUAAUCAGAAAGCCACGGCUAACUACGUG